AUUGAACGCUGGCGGCAUGCUUUACACAUGCAAGUCGAACGGUAACAGGUUAAGCUGACGAGUGGCGAACGGGUGAGUAAUGCAUCGGAACGUGCCCGGUCGUGGGGGAUAACACUUCGAAAGAAGUGCUAAUACCGCAUACGAUCUGAGGAUGAAAGCGGGGGACCGUAAGGCCUCGCGCGAUCGGAGCGGCCGAUGUCAGAUUAGGUAGUUGGUGGGGUAAAGGCCCACCAAGCCGACGAUCUGUAGCUGGUCUGAGAGGACGACCAGCCACACGGGGACAGAGACACGGCCCAGACUCCUACGGGAGGCAGCAGUGGGGAAUUUUGGACAAUGGGCGCAAGCCUGAUCCAGCAAUGCGGCGUGCAGGAAGAAGGCCUUCGGGUUGUAAACUGCUUUUGUACGGAGCGAAAAGGCUCUCUCUAAUACAGGGGGCUCAUGACGGUACCGUAAGAAUAAGCACCGGCUAACUACGUGCCAGCCGCCGCCGUAA
rnacentral:rRNA from 1 species